AAAGCGCACGUAGGCGGAUCUUUAAGUCAGGGGUGAAAUCCCGAGGCUCAACCUCGGAACUGCCUUUGAUACUGGGGAUCUCGAGUCCGGGAGAGGUGAGUGGAACUGCGAGUGUAGAGGUGAAAUUCGUAGAUAUUCGCAAGAACACCAGUGGCGAAGGCGGCUCACUGGCCCGGAACUGACGCUGAGGUGCGAAAGCGUGGGGAGCAAACAGGAUUAGAUACCCUUGU
rnacentral:rRNA from 1 species